rnacentral:rRNA from 1 species
CGAAACCAAAAGACUGGCGACCGGCCGCACGGGUGAGUAACACGUAUCCAACCUGCCUCAUACUCGGGGAUAGCCUUUCGAAAGAAAGAUUAAUAUCCGAUAGCAUAUAUUUCCCGCAUGGGUUUUAUAUUAAAGAAAUUCGGUAUGAGAUGGGGAUGCGUUCCAUUAGUUUGUUGGGGGGGUAACGGCCCACCAAGACUACGAUGGAUAGGGGUUCUGAGAGGAAGGUCCCCCACAUUGGAACUGAGACACGGUCCAA